CAGUCGCCGCGGUAAUACAGAGGGUGCGAGCGUUAAUCGGAUUUACUGGGCGUAAAGCGUGCGUAGGCGGCUUUUUAAGUCGGAUGUGAAAUCCCUGAGCUUAACUUAGGAAUUGCAUUCGAUACUGGGAAGCUAGAGUAUGGGAGAGGAAGGUAGAAUUCCAGGUGUAGCGGUGAAAUGCGUAGAGAUCUGGAGGAAUACCGAUGGCGAAGGCAGCCAUCUGGCCUAAUACUGACGCUGAGGUACGAAAGCAUGGGGAGCAAACAGGAUUAGAUACCCCUGUAGUCCCUGUCUCUUAUAC
rnacentral:rRNA from 1 species